rnacentral:snoRNA from 1 species
GUGCACAGAGAACACCCAAGGAUGCUAUCGUAGCUCCCCCUGGUUUCUUGUAUCUGUGCUACAGUAACUCUGAUCUGUACCUCUGCAUUAGGGGAGUCUCUUCCUCCCCUACAUGUAUUCAGCGGAUCAGGAUAAUC